AAACGAGGCCUUAAAAGUUAAAAGAUUGGAGAUUUUAUAGCGAACGCAAUAAACAUCAAAAAAACAGUCGCUCGAUUUUCUCCACUCCCCACCAUUUCAAACAUCAGAUUUCAGAACGAAGCAGUGGUGGCGAAACUCGGCGUAAUCGAUUUCUGCAAUUGCGCGUAAAAUCGCAGUGUCGGCGGCGGACCACCGGAGUAAUUGGUUUCUGCGAUUAGCGGCGGCGGCGACGGACCACGGGAAUCGCUGGUUUCGUUGGUCGGCGGCGACGGCGAAUCCUCUUAAACGACAGACUAUCACUUUAUCAUAUUGUUGGAACCUAAAUCAUCGAUCAUUUGAUAUGUGCUAAUAAACAAGAGAGUGAAGCAUGUCUGGUAAUCGGACUUUCGUGGAUGAAGACGGUUCUUCAGCAUCAGGAGACGAGGCAAAUUUGUUAGAUGGGGGCAAUAAAAAUAAUUUUAUGAGUACAAAUUCAGGUAGACAUAAUAAUAAUAAUAAUAACAGUAAUAAGAGAAGCAGAAAAGCAACAGGUGAUGCUAUUGUUGAUGCUAUGUUGGAAAUAGCUGCUGCCUCCAAAAUGAGAGCUGCUGCAAUAACGAGGAAUGAGGAGCGUUUUGCUAUUAGCAAAUGCAUUCGAAUAUUGGACGACAUGCAAAUUGCUGACCAAAGUCUUUAUUUUUAUGCUUUGGAUUUGUUCGAAAAUCCUACCGCAAGAGAAAUCUUCGUGUCGCUCAAGGCUGAAAGACGAUUAGCGUGGAUGCAGGGCAAGUUCAGAGUCUUCUCAAGCUCAGCUGCCUGACUAGGUUUAUACUUUCUCAUUUUUUUUUUUUUUUUUUUUUUUGUCGACUGUUGUCGGGUUUUGUUUAGAACUUAGGCCAUGUACUACUUAGUUUGAAUUUAUGGUUAAAACUAUUUAAUUGGGUUAGUGGUCACAUAUAUUUUCUUGUUGCUUCUCCUUGAAAGCCAUGGCAUUGUUUUUUUCUGAUUUACAGUAUGAACUUGUUGUGUUAACUCAAUAUGUUUUUAUAUAUAUAUAGGAUGGGAUCUUAGCUUAAUCCCACUCUGUUAGAUUUUA